UUUCAUUGGUAUUAUUAGUUAAGAUCUUUAAAUCAAAAGAAUUUGACGGUAAUUUAUCAUUUCAGAGGAACCUGUCCUUUAAUCGAUAUCCCACGUUAAAUUUUACCUUAAUUUUUACUUAUAUACCUCUGUUGUUAGAGUGUUUUAUUAGGAUUAUUCUCUUUUAUUUUUUUAAAUUAUAUAUCAGGUCAAGGUUUAGUUAUAUUAAGGUUGAGAUGGGUUACAUUUAUUUAAAAUAUUGAAUUUUGUUAUUUAUUUAAUGAAUUGAAAUUGGAUUUGAUUGUAAUUUUUAUUAUAUAUUAUUUAUGAUAUUUGUUCUAGAUUAAG
rnacentral:rRNA from 1 species